rnacentral:tRNA from 2 species
GUUAUUUGUUUUGGUAAACAGUAGGUUUUGAAAGCCUAGAAUAAAUGUUCAAUUCAUUUAAUAACUUA